rnacentral:rRNA from 1 species
GUGGGGAAUCUUGCGCAAUGGGCGAAAGCCUGACGCAGCCAUGCCGCGUGAAUGAUGAAGGUCUUAGGAUUGUAAAAUUCUUUCACCGGGGACGAUAAUGACGGUACCCGGAGAAGAAGCUCCGGCUAACUUCGUGCCAGCAGCCGCGGUAUUACGAAGGGGGCUAGCGUUGCUCGGAAUUACUGGGCGUAAAGGGCGCGUAGGCGGACAGCUUAGUCAGAGGUGAAAGCCCAGGGCUCAACCUUGGAAUUGCCUUUGAUACUGGCUGUCUUGAGUUUGGGAGAGGUGAGUGGAACUCCGAGUGUAGAGGUGAAAUUCGUAGAUAUUCGGAAGAACACCAGUGGCGAAGGCGACUCACUGGCCCAAUACUGACGCUGAGGCGCGAAAGCGUGGGGAGCAAACAGGAUUAGAAACCCUGGUAGUCC